rnacentral:lncRNA from 1 species
AUGGCACCCACUUUGAGGACCAAUUUAGUAGGUGGACACUCCACAAAAAAUCUCCAAUGACCUCUUGCCAAGUGGCCUUCAGUCCAAGGUCCAUGGGUCAACGUUUGACCAAUGUCCUAAAACGAAAAUGGCAGGUGACAGGAAUUAGCAGGUGUUGUCUUAAAUUCAUCUCAUGAAUUAAGACAAGUCCUUUCUGAGCUGGACUGGUUCUAGUCAGACUGUGAGAAACCU